GAAAAAUGAGGACAACUUUCAUAGCCUGAUGUCCAUGACUGCUAAAGAUCCAACUCUGAUUUCACUCAGUGG